rnacentral:rRNA from 1 species
AACAGGAUUAGAUACCCUGGUAGUCCACGCCCUAAACGAUGUCUACUAGUUGUCGGGUUUUAAUUAACUUGGUAACGCAGCUAACGCGUGAAGUAGACCGCCUGGGGAGUACGGUCGCAAGGUUAAAACUCAAAGGAAUUGACGGGGACCCGCACAAGCGGUGGAUGAUGUGGAUUAAUUCGAUGCAACGCGAAAAACCUUACCUACCCUUGACAUGUACGGAAGUCACGAGAGAUCGAGAUGUGCUCGAAAGAGAACCGUAACACAGGUGCUGCAUGGCUGUCGUCAGCUCGUGUCGUGAGAUGUUGGGUUAAGUCCCGCAACGAGCGCAACCCUUGUCAUUAGUUGCUACAUUUAGUUGAGCACUCUAAUGAGACUGCCGGUGACAAACCGGAGGAAGGUGGGGAUGACGUCAAGUCCUCAUGGCCCUUAUGGGUAGGGCUUCACACGUUAUACAAUGGUACAUACAGAGGGCCGCCAACCCGCGAGGGGGAGCUAAUCCCAGAAAGUGUAUCGUAGUCCGGAUCGCAGUCUGCAACUCGACUGCGUGAAGUUGGAAUCGCUAGUAAUCGCGGAUCAGCAUGUCGCGGUGAAUACGUUCCCGGGUCUUGUACACACCGCCCGUCACACCAUGGGAGCGGGUUUUACCAGAAGUAGGUAGCUUAACCGCAAGGGGGGCGCUUACCACGGUAGGAUUCGUGACUGGGGUGAAGUCGUAACAAGGUAACC